GCCGUUGUAGCUUAGUGGUAAAGCACGUCAUUGGUAAUGACGAGACCGUGAGUCCGAUCCUCACCAACGGCUCCA
rnacentral:tRNA from 5 species